GCGAAACCGCGAAUGGCUCAUUAAAUCAGUCAUAAUUCAUUGGAUGUUAUAAAAUCCUUACUCGGAUAACUGUGGUAAUUCUAGAGCUAAUACGUGCAACUAAGCCCCGACCCCGGUCGGCGUCUUUCGCGAGCCGUUCGGUCCGGGGGAAGGGCGCAUUUGUUAGACCAAAAACCGGGUGGAAAGUAAGGGUUCGAGGCUUCUCGCUUCUUUCCCCCAAAUCCUCCAAUUACGGUUAAAAUUGGUGACUCUGGAUAACUUCCGCUGAGCGCUGAGGCCAUAGUGCCGACGCCGUAUCCUUCGAGUGUCUGCCUUAUCAGCUCUCGAUUGUAGGUUAUUCGCCUACAAUGGCUGUAACGGGUAACGGGGAAUCAGGGUUCGAUUCCGGAGAGGGAGCCUGAGAAACGGCUACCACAUCCAAG
rnacentral:rRNA from 1 species